rnacentral:rRNA from 1 species
UACGGAGGAUCCAAGCGUUAUCCGGAUUUAUUGGGUUUAAAGGGUGCGUAGGCGGCUUUUUAAGUCAGGGGUGAAAGACGGUGGCUCAACCAUCGCAGUGCCCUUGAUACUGAAGAGCUUGAAUGGACUAGAGGUAGGCGGAAUGCGACAAGUAGCGGUGAAAUGCAUAGAUAUGUCACAGAACACCGAUUGCGAAGGCAGCUUACUAUGGUUUAAUUGACGCUGAGGCACGAAAGCGUGGGGAUCAAACAGG